GUUUUGGUUAUUAAGGGGCGGGGCUGUUUUCACACCCCAAAACGUCACAGUUACGUUGCAGGAAACGAGUUUCUACAGCUACCCUCCCCCACAUCACACUCGCUGACCAUCAAUUAGGAAACGCGCGCUUUGCUACCUGCACAAAAGGAAGGCGUUGAGAAGAGUGAGCGUUCGAGUCAGCAUCAUCGAGAAAACCCCAGAAAGUGACAAAUACUUCAGAAUUAAAGCAGAUGGACAAUCCCACUGAAGAUGGUGAUUAUUCUGACUCAAGUCUUUUUGGAUCAGAUGAGGAAUACAAACCAACUAAGACAUCCUCUGAGUCGAGUGAUGACGAGGAGAUAUUCCAUCCAAAGGUAGAAAAAUUGUUCUUAUGAUACAUCCAGUGAAGACUCUACAAGUCAUCAGACAUAUGAAGCAGAGGAGCACAGUCAUGUCUGCAAUUCGUAAAGAAGCCCCAAAAAGGGAAAAGCAUCUCUCCAAAAGAGGGAAGACUGAAUUGGAUGAUUCGAGUCCAGGCGGGGACCCUGGCGGUCCGAUCCUUGGCUGCAGAAGCUAGCUCUUGGGACAUGGAAUGUCACCUCUCUGGCAGGGAAGGAGCCCGAGCUGGUGUGUGAGGCAGAGAAUUUCCGACUGGAUAUAGUCGGACUUGCCUCCACACACAGCCUGGGUUCUGGUACCAGUUCUCUCGAGAGGGGUUGGACUCUCUUCCACUCUGGAGUUGCUCACGGUGAGAGGCGCAGAGCAGGUGUGGGCAUACUCAUUGCCCCCCGCCUCAGUGCCUGUACAUUGGGGUUCACACCGGUAGACGAGAGGGUCGCCUCCCUCCGCCUUC